AGUGAGGCAAGCUGGUG
rnacentral:miRNA from 1 species